rnacentral:rRNA from 1 species
GACGAACGCUGGCGGCGUGCUUAACACAUGCAAGUCGAACGGAAAGGCCCUGCUUUUGUGGGGUGCUCGAGUGGCGAACGGGUGAGUAACACGUGAGUAACCUGCCCUUGACUUUGGGAUAACUUCAGGAAACUGGGGCUAAUACCGGAUAGGAGCUCCUGCUGCAUGGUGGGGGUUGGAAAGUUUCGGCGGUUGGGGAUGGACUCGCGGCUUAUCAGCUUGUUGGUGUGGUAGUGGCUUACCAAGGCUUUGACGGGUAGCCGGCCUGAGAGGGUGACCGGCCACAUUGGGACUGAGAUACGGACCAGACUCCUACGGGAGGCAGCAGUGGGGAAUAUUGCACAAUGGGCGGAAGCCUGAGGCAGCAACGCCGCGUGCGGGAUGACGGCCUUCGGGUUGUAAACCGCUUUCGCCUGUGACGAAGCGUGAGUGACGGUAAUGGGUAAAGAAGCACCGGCUAACUACGUG